GCCCGGGAGGCUCAGUCGGUUGAGUGUCCGACUCUUGAUUUGGGCUCAGGUCAUGAUCUCACAGUCGUGGGAUCGAGCCCCACCUCAGGCU
rnacentral:tRNA from 1 species